rnacentral:rRNA from 1 species
GAUGAACGCUGGCGGCGUGCCUAAUACAUGCAAGUCGAGCGAACAGAUGAGGAGCUUGCUCCUCUGACGUUAGCGGCGGACGGGUGAGUAAAACGUGGAUAACCUACCUAUAAGACUGGGAUAACUUCGGGAAACCGGAGCUAAUACCGGAUAAUAUAUUGAACCGUAUGGUUCAAUAGUGAAAGACGGUUUUGCUGUCACUUAUAGAUGGAUCCGCGCCGCAUUAGCUAGUUGGUAAGGUAACGGCUUACCAAGGCAACGAUGCGUAGCCGACCUGAGAGGGUGAUCGGCCACACUGGAACUGAGACACGGUCCAGACUCCUACGGGAGGCAGCAGUAGGGAAUAUUCCGCAAUGGGCGAAAGCCUGACGGAGCAACGCCGCGUGAGUGAUGAAGGUCUUCGGAUCGUAAAACUCUGUUAUUAGGGAAGAACAAAUGUGUAAGUAACUAUGCACGUCUUGACGGUACCUAAUCAGAAAGCCACGGCUAACUACGUG